GCGCUCGCCGGCACCGCGAGUAAAGCUUGCACAGCCUGGGUCAUCGAAACUACAACUCCCAGAAGGCUAAGCGUCUGCACACGCUAGGUCCGCAGGGCCCUGACCCCUGGGGGCCCGAGGAGCGCCGGGCUGCUGCCCCGAGCCCCGCCCACUACAGCCUCAGUCCAUGGCGGUGGGCGCAGCCAGUAACUCAGGGGUGGGACUUUUUUCUUGCUCAGGGGAUGAGGCCGAGCCCACAGGCUUAGAAAGAAGGAACCUGAGUCUGGGCACCUGUCAUCCCAGCGCUUAGGGAGGCCGAGGCGGGUGGAUCACCUGAGGUCAGGAGUUCGAGACCAGCCUGGCCAAUAUGGCGAAACCGCCGUCUCUACUGAAAAUACAAAAAUUAGCCGAGCAUGGUGGCACGCACUUCCAGCUACUUGGAAGGCUGAGGCGGGAGAAUGGCUUGAACCUGGGAGGCGAGGGUUGCGGUGAGCUGAGAUCGCACCACUGCACUCCAGCCUGGGUGACAGAGCGAGACUUCGUCUCAAAAAAAAAAGAAGAAGAAAGAAGGAAGCUGAGGUUCAGACAGGCUAAGUCCCUACUGCAGGCUGCGGAAUCUAAAAAGGUCAUGAACUCUGAGAGUUUGAGCUGAGCCUCUAAAAGCUGUAUCAAUAGCACCUUGCACUGUUGAAGCAGGCCAUGAACUCUGAGAAUUUGGGCUGCAUUUUUAAAGCUGUAUCACUGGCAGUUUGUACUCAAAAAGCAGAUAGUGUCUUGCAAUGUCGCCCAGGCUGGAGUGCAGUGGUGCCCCUCCUGUUGUGAAUGGACAGAGUCCUGAGCAAGGAAACCUAGAAGGGAGAGAGGAAUAACCAUGGAAUUGAGUCCUGUCUGGUAGCACUGACAGACACAGUGGCCAGCCACCCUCAUGCCACCCUGUCCUGCCAUGGGAAGGAACAGCAGCUCUAGAGUUCCUAUGGGAACUCUCUUUCCUUCUCACUGAACUCUAGCUUCAUCAAUAACUCAGUGCCUCUGGCCAAGUUUUUAGCCUCUGGGACAACAUCCACUAUAUCCGUAUGAGGCACUCAUGUAACACGGUGAUUAAGAGUACAGAUGAUGGAGCCAGCAGCCUAAGUCUGAAUCCUGACUGCCAAUUAUUAAUAUAAGUUGUGGAACCAUGGUCAAGUUACUCAACCUCUUUAUGCCUCUGUCUCCUGGUCUACGAAAUGAAGCUUUGAAUCUGCUGUUAUUAAGUUGCUGGUGCUGAAAUAACACUUAUUAUUUAUGGUCUAACUGAAAUGGGAACACUGGAAACUUCUUUGAAACUGAAGAAAAAAAUGAAAAAGAAGUUUUUACAAUCAAAACUGCCAUGAAGACUGCUUUACCCAAAAUUUUGGUCCACAGCUUUCAUUGAAUUACUUAUCAGGGCAAACAAAGUUUAGCCAUGUGAACAGGUUCCAAUUUUGUUAGAAAUAAUUUGGAUCCAGCUAUCUUUAUACAAUGGUGAGUUCGUAUUGCAUCUCAUGGCUAAAAUUCUGAGGUAAAGGCUUUUGGAUCUUUGUGUGUGUGUGUGUGCAUGUGACAAAAACAAGCAAUGGGGAAAGGAGUCCCUAUUUAAUAAACGGUGUUGGGAGAACUGGCUAGCCAUAUGCAGAAAGUUGAAACUGGAGCCCCUCCUUAUACCAUAUACAAAAAUCAACUCAAGAUGAAUUAAAGACUUAAAUGUAAAAACCCAAACUAUAAAAACCCUAGAAGAAAAUCUAGGCAAUACCAUUCAGGACAUGGGCACAGGCAAAUAUUUCAUGACAAAGAUGCCAAAAGCAGUAGCAACAAAAGCAAAAAUUGACAAAUGGAAUCUAAUUAAACUAAAGAGCUUCUGUACAGCAAAGAAAUUAUCAUCAGAGUGAACAGACAACCUACAGCAUGGGAGAAAAUUUUUGCAAUAUAUCCAUCUGACAAAGGUCUAAUAUCCAGCAUCUACAAGGAACUUAAACAAAUUUACAAGAAAAAAAACAACACCAUUAAAAAAUGGGCAAAGGACGUGGACAGACACUUCUCAAAAGAAGAAAUUUCUGUGGGCAAUGAACAUUUUUUUUAAAAAAGCUCAACACCACUGAUCAUUAGAGAAAUGCACAUGAAAACCACAAUGAGAUACCAUCUCACACCAGUCAGAAUGGCUAUUACUUAAAGGUCAAAAAACAACAGAUGAUAGCAAGGUUGUGAAGAAAAAUGAACACUUUUAUACGUUGGUUGGAGUAUAAAUUAGUUCUACCCUUGUCGAAGACAGUGUGGUGAUUCCUCAAAGACCUAGGGGAAGAAAUAUCAUUUGACCCAGCAAUCUCAUUACUGGGUAUAUACCCAGAGGAAUAUAAAUCAUUCUAUUAUAAAGAUACAUGUGCAUGUUCAUUGCAAAAUAGCAAAAACAUGGAAUCAACCUAAAUGCUCAUCAAUGACAGACUUGAUAAAGGAAAUAUGGUACGUGUACACCAAGGAAUACCACGCAGCCAUAAAAAGGAACAAGAUAAUGUCUUUUGCAGGGACCUGGAUGGAACCAGAAGCCAUUAUCCUCAGCAAAUUAAUGCAGGAACAGAAAAGCAAAUACCACAUGUUCUCACUUAUAAGUGGAAGCUGAAUGAUGAGAACACAUGGACACAUGGUGGGGAACAAUACACACUGGGGCCUGUUGCAGGGUGCGGAGCGGGAGGGAGAGCAUCGGGAAGAAUAGCUAAUGCAUGCUGGGCUUAAUACCUAGGGGAUGGAAUGAUCUGUGCAGCAAACCACUAUGGCACACAUUUACCUAUGUAACAAACCUACACAUCCUGCACAUGUACCCCUGACCUUAAAAUAAAAGUUGGAAAUAAAAAAAACCCUAAACAUAUA